rnacentral:rRNA from 1 species
UACGGGGGGGGCAAGCGUUGUUCGGAAUUACUGGGCGUAAAGGGCUCGUAGGUGGCCAACUAAGUCAGACGUGAAAUCCCUCGGCUUAACCGGGGAACUGCGUCUGAUACUGGAUGGCUUGAGUUCGGGAGAGGGAUGGAAUUCCAGGUGUAGCGGUGAAAUGCGUAGAUAUCUGGAGGAACACCGGUGGCGAAGGCGGCAUCCUGGACCGAUACUGACACUGAGGAGCGAAAGCCAGGGGAGCAAACGGG